UGGCGGCGUGCUUACACAUGCAAGUCGAACGGAAAGGCUCCAGCUUGCUGGAGUACUCGAGUGGCGAACGGGUGAGUAACACGUGGGCAAUCUGCCCUGCACUCUGGGAUAAGCCUGGGAAACUGGGUCUAAUACUGGAUAGGACCUUUCUCCUCAUGGGGUUUGGUGGAAAGUUUUUCGGUGCAGGAUGAGCCCGCGGCCUAUCAGCUUGUUGGUGGGGUAAUGGCCUACCAAGGCGACGACGGGUAGCCGGCCUGAGAGGGUGAUCGGCCACAUUGGGACUGAGAUACGGCCCAGACUCCUACGGGAGGCAGCAGUGGGGAAUAUUGCACAAUGGGCGGAAGCCUGAUGCAGCGACGCCGCGUGAGGGAUGACGGCCUUCGGGUUGUAAACCUCUUUCAGUAGGGACGAAGCGUAAGUGACGGUACCUGCAGAAGAAGCACCGGCUAACUACGUGCCAGCAGCCGCGGUAAUACGUAGGGUGCGAGCGUUGUCCGGAAUUACUGGGCGUAAAGAGCUCGUAGGCGGUUUGUCACGUCGUCUGUGAAAUCCUAGGGCUUAACCCUGGACGUGCAGGCGAUACGGGCUGACUUGAGUACUACAGGGGAGACUGGAAUUUCUGGUGUAGCGGUGGAAUGCACAGAUAUCAGGAAGAACACCGAUGGCGAAGGCAGGUCUCUGGGUAGUAACUGACGCUGAGGAGCGAAAGCAUGGGUAGCGAACAGG
rnacentral:rRNA from 1 species